UCAAAAACAUGUCUUAUUGAUAAUAAUUNUAAGUUNGACCUGCCCCCUGAAUUUUAAAUGGCCGCGGUAUUUUGACUGUGCUAAGGUAGCAUAAUAANUAGUUUCUUAAUUAGAAGCUGGAAUGAAUGGUUUUAUGAAAAAAAGACUGUCUCUANUUAAAUUUAUUAUAAAUUUAUUUUUUAGUNAAAAAGCUAAAAUUAUUUUGAAAGACGAGAAGACCCUAUAGAGUUUUAUAAUAUAUUUAUUUAAUAUUUAUAAGUAUUUUAAAUUUUUAAAUUNAAUUAUUAUUUANUUGGGGUGAUUGAAAAAUUUAUUUAACUUUUUUUCUAAUUUUACAUUAAUGUAUGAANUUAUGAUCCAUUAUUUA
rnacentral:rRNA from 1 species